UCUCCACGUAUGAUAGUAUCGUAGGUGAAGAAUAAGUAGUUUUCCAAAACCCGGAAGAACUUGUCUUCUUAGUAUGUCCUUCUCAUUGGCGUAAACACUGACUAAACUGAUUUUCCUUUUAUUUAAUUCUAUGUCAAACGAGCAUAGACGUUCGUACUCGUCGUGCCUGAAUCAUCAGUAAAUGAUUUGAUUUCACCUCAGAUGAUCAAAGUCUGAAAGUAUAACUAGUAUGGAGUCUUCUAAAAUUGCCAAAUUAAAUAGCCCAGCUCUGGAGGAGUAUGAACUGCUUGGAGAUCCAAAGUAUCGAUCUUAUGUUUCAGCUGUGGAUAAAGCAUUGAAGAAUUUUGAAUAUACAAGUGAAUGGGCAGAUCUAAUAUCUGCUCUUGGCAAGUUAAAUAAGGUUCUUCUCAGUCAUAUCAAGUACUCUGUGAUACCUCGAAGGAUAACCAUCAGCAAGCGACUGGCCCAGUGUAUGCAUCCUGCUCUACCUGGAGGUGUCCACCUUAAGGCUUUAGAGACUUAUGAUUUAAUUUUCAAGUGCAUUAAAACUGUUCGUCUCAGUCAAGAACUCUUUAUUUAUAGUGCUGGCCUCUUUCCACUCUUUGGAAAUGCUGCAAUGAAUGUAAAACCUGCACUUCUAACUAUAUAUGAGAAACACUUUAUUCCUCUUGGAGAGAUGUUACGUCCUGGACUAAAUGGAUUUUUGACUGGGGUACUUCCAGGGUUAGAAGAAGGAUCAGAAUAUUAUGACAGGACAGACUUAUUACUACAAAAAGUCAGUGAAGCAGUGGAGAGCAGUUACUUUUAUGGUUGCAUGUGGAAAUGUAUACUGUCCAAUCAAAGUGUACGAUUACCAGCUGUAGGUUUUAUAACAUCACAUUAUAACAAGAAAUUAAGUAUGGAAGACCAGCUUUAUCUCAUUGGAACAGAUAUUGAUACAAUGGUCCAAGCUUUAUGCGCAUCAGUACAGGAUUCUAGUGUUUUAGUUCAGAGAAGCACUCUGGACUUCCUUCUGUUAGGCUUUCCAAUGCAUAAUAGUCAGCUGGUAAAGACUGAUAUGGUUCGUGUGGUCACAGCUGCCAUUACUGUUUUGCUGCGAAGAGAUAUGUCACUAAAUAGACGCCUGUUUGCAUGGCUGUUGGGAACAGAAACCAAUUUAGCUAAAGGAGACCAGCACAUGGUUAAUCGGUCUGAGAGUGUGAACAGCACAGACUCUGAUGUCUACAAUCUCUAUUUUGAGACAAAUUCCAAAGAUCUUCUUUUGAAAGGGAUAAGAGUAUGCCUCCAUGAUCCUGUUUCUGUGUUAGCUUCACCAUUAGGCCAUUCUGUUUCUUCUGAUUUGUGGUCAUACCGCCUUCUCAUCAGUCUUUUGGAUAGACCAGAGAUUAGCACAAGCAUUUUGGAUGACAUUCUUAUAGAAGUUUUUAGAUCACUUUAUCAUGAGUGUUCUUCUCGACAAGGUUCCAUAUCAGUUGAAAGUACUGGAGAAAAACAUGGGAUAAAUAAGGACCAGAUAACUUCCAAAAACCAUAAGGAACUUGUCAAGACAGCAAAUCUGCUAUUUAGCACACUCGAACCUUGCUAUUUGUGGCAUUAUCUUGCUAGAUGUUUCCAAGAGAGCUGUCAUCGCAACAAAUGUGCAGAUAGUGGGAGCUAUUGUCCCAAAAGAAAUUCAACUGCUGUUGAGCAUGUUGGAGCAGGUCCACCAAAUAUUCAAGAAGUUGGUUGCCUUAUUGACUUUCUUUUAGAUGUUGUUUCUUUGGAAACAUAUCUUGAGACACCAACAGAGCAUCUUCCAGACUUGCUCAAUCAAUUAGGCAGUGCAUUAGCCGAACACUGUGAAGCCCUAUCUCCUAUGGAAAUAUGUGAUUCUCUGAAUGUGUGUUCCCAUAUCCUUAGUAAGGCUCAGCCCCUGUUUAUUAAUGUACCAACUGAGACUUUUCAUGAUUUUCAUGUUGCAAAAGAAACUUCAGAAUGUGAUAAACUGUCAUCUAGUUCUGUAGAAAAUAUUGAUAAUGAGAAAGACACCUCACUAGUACCAGAAGAGCAGUCAAAUCUUGGUUCAAAAAGCUGGGAAGAGAAACCAGCGGAGUUGACACUUGGUAUCCAAGAAUCAUCAUUACCUAAUAAACAUAAGCUUGAUAAUCAGAUUUCAUUAAAAGCAAAGAUUUCAGCUACAAAACUUCAGCACAAGUCACCUGUAACUCAAUGUAUAAAAAAGUUUCAGGAAUUUUUUAUUAAAUUUGUUAAAAAUAGAAUCCUGAAAGACUCGGAAGAAGCUGUAGCUUGUUUUUUGAAACUAUGGCUUAGCAGAAAAACCAGUGAAAAGACAAGGAAUGAAAAACUUGAUCAGCUUCUCAACAUGUGUUUACAAGAUAGCAGGUUUCAUGGAGUACUUGAUGAUGGAACCAAUUUCCUCAUUAAUCUUUAUGAUAAGCACGUGGAAAACUUGCCAGAAGCUAUUUUAAACAAAAAUGCAGUUCAACUUUCAGAAGAAGCUCAUGCAUUUUUGGAAAGUUUUCAGUCAAUUUGCCAGCUUCUUGUGGAUAUGUCUUCCUUUCCAACAUUCUGUACCUCAGACAAGACUCUAUUAGAAACAGUUGUGGAAGAUAAUGACACUUCACUACCAGAGUGGCUACAGCUGCUAUUGGUUCUAGCCUGUUUUUUGAAUGAAGAGAAUUUCCUUUUCACUUCUAUGAUGACAGCACUUGAUCUGAUAGCUCUGACCAAGUCAAUGACCAUUCAGACUGAUCCUGAGUCACUAUCCACCUCCUCAGCACUCCAGACUUCAUCGUCAUCAGGUGUUGUUUCAGUAGUUAUUGUACCAACCAUUCCAAAGUCAAAUCUGCAGUUCUUGGGAGAAGAAACAGUGUUUUAUCAAGUAGCUACUGCCAAACUGUGGCAUUUCUUGGCUGCAAGUAGUUCAAGACUUCAUCUCCGAACUGUUCACUUGUUACAGCAGCUACACAACCUGGCACCAACUGGGGAUAUCUGUGAAAUUGUGAUGUGUAGAGCCUUAGUUGAUGAAAAGGAACAGGUUCAGAUAGAAGCUCAGAAAAAGUUCUGUGUUUUGUGGCAUCUCACUCGAGAUCUUCGACUAAAAUCAACUCCAAGUAGCAUGAUGAGAGCUUUUGAUAGGUGCUUGUUCCUGCUUUUGGAUAGUCUAGGUAGGGAAACAGGUCCCCAGAAAUCUGUUGCACAGGGCUGGUUAAACCAUGCUUUACAACGUGGGGACAUUGCACGGAUCCUUGAACCCAUUUUGCUGAUUCUUCUUCAUCCUGACACUGCCAGAGUGUCUAUUCAGCAUGUGAAUGUUCACCACUCUCAUAAACUUAGGGUCACAGAUCAAAAUACUAAGGAAGAAGGAAGUAUUGAGACUAAGAUUUAUGCUAUAAGCAGUGAAGGAGGGAAUGUUAUCUACCAUGUUAAUGAUGAGUGUGUUUCACCUUCUCAGCAGAACAGCCCAGAAAAGAAAAUCCUUGCUCUUACAUCAAUUAUUAACAUGGAAAACAAGAGAGGGUCAAAGUUUAUCACUGCCAAGUCAUUGAUUCAAGACUUGGAACUUCCAUAUUGUCAUGAGCGAGAUGCCUCACUUCCAAUAUCUUUAUUUGUGAAUCCUUUUGGGUCUUUAACAUCCUUAACAAGUGAUGCUAUGGGAGAGACAACAGGUACCCCAGAUUUAAGUAAUGCUAAAAGAAUUGAUGCAUCAUAUAUUGCAAGAAAAAGUAGUUCAUUUGAUGAUUGUGAGAUGUGGUCAGCAGCUGAAUUAAUGGAAAGCAAACAGUCAGAUGUGAAUGAAAUUGUUGCAGCUAUUGUCUCUGAACUUGUUACUGCUGUUGUUGAAGGUGAAAAGGAAGAAAAAACAACUGAGAGUUCAGCAUCAUCUUCAGAAUAUGGUUUGGAUGAUGUGUUUAUGGAUAAUGACAGCCAAAAUAGUGAGAAGUCUGGUGGAACAGUUGUAAAUGAGAUUAGUAGACAGCAGAAUGAUCAAGAAGGAAUUUGCAAGUCUCAAGAAGUAACCAUCCACCCUCUUCAUAGUCAUCUGCUUUUAUAUUGUCAAGUAUAUGAUUCUAAAAAAACACUAUAUGCCUUAUCCUCUUUAAAAGCAGUUAUACUAACAAACCCUCGAAUUGCUUUGUGUAACAUGGCCACUACCAGCAUUAGUAGCUCUUUGAGCUACCGGGGUCAACAUCUUCAAAAUCUAAUGGCUCGCCACCGCAAAUCAGUUCUUGGUAACAAUUUCAAUGGGGACCAAAGUAACGAGUCUGCUACUGCUUACCGUAGUAGCAUGUUUGUAGAAGUGGUUGUCUCUGUCUGCUUGUAUUACAUUCGAAGCUACUAUCCUAACCUGCCUCAAGUCCAUCUUACCACAGAAGAAAUUAUUGGGAACCGAAAUGUUCGAUUGCUUUGCAUUGAGGUUCUUACUUUAGUUUUCUCUGAGCUUGUAGCUAUUGUCAGAGAUAGUGGUAAAAGUUUUGCUAUCUAUCUAAAUGAUCUGCUGUUAAGGUGUAAGGUACAGAAAACACUCCUUCACUGUUUAGUAGCUAGUGUAGUAAAUUUUCAAACUAAACACUUCUCUGAUGAAGAAACUUUCACUGAAACUAUUGUCAAGUUUAAUGAACUUUGUAUGACGGAAGGUGAAGAUUCAGGAGAAUGUGGAUUCCAAGACACUUUUCUUGUACACAUAUUGAGACUUAUAACUACUCUGAUUGUGCUGGAGAAUCAGGUUUCCAUUUGGAGUACGUCUGAAGGAUCAGGGACUAAGGCAGACCCAAGACCAUCAAAAAUCCAGUUGCAAGCACAGAUGUCUUCUGUUAAGUACCAACCAGGAAUCUCAAUUCCAUCGCAGCCCAUGUUCCUCACAGCCCUUCUUUGUGCUUUGAGACAACACCAUAAGGCUCAUCUUCACACACACUGGCUCAGUUUGCUUAUAUCUUCAUUGAGAUUUGCUGGUCGUUCUCUCACUCAUCUUGUCCUUUCUGUGGUCAGCCAGCUUUGUCACAACUUAGAAGAUGCUGUUAAAAUUCACAUUAUCACAGAAGAUUGUAUUAGGGAACAAUCUGCAUCUAAAGAAGAAUUUCAUGCUCCUCCAGACUAUUUGGUUACAUUAGUAGAGAGCUUGACAACACUCACUCACUACUGUCUACUGGAUACACCUGCUCCAAUCUCCACCCCUGUUAAUCAGCCACUGUUGCCACCUAUGCCUUCUCAACCAUAUGCACCUGGAAUCAAUGCCUCGCAGAUCAUAUCCAACCUUUUGCAUGUCUUCUCUACUUCAGACUCUCAGAAAGAUCAGUCAGCAACUAGGGAACCAGGGAGUGCCCUUGAUCCAAUUCUUACAACCCGCCGAGCUCUUUUGAGCAACAUGCCUCGUAUUUUGGCUGCCCUUACAUUAGUCUGGCAAGCUGUUACUGAGUCAGAGAAGAAUAGCCAAAAUCAACCAGUCUCGUGGUGGAUUAUGGGCUCUUCAAAGACUGUGAAACAGAAUAUUCUCAGUCUCCUCAGUCCUAUUGCUCUACACCAUGGGAUCAGCUUUAUGGCUGCUGUUGCUGUAGUUUGGUAUGAUAGAAGACACAAAGGUACUUUUCCCACAAGAAAGGUGAUUCCACCCUGGACCCAAAGUCAGCUUUUGCUAGUGGAGUUAGUAGCAGCUAUAAAAGUGGUUCCUAUGGAGUCUGUAGUUCAAACUGUUCGACAAGUAAUUAAACAACCACCUCCAACAUCUCAUGACAAGAAUAAAAGAGCUCCACUUGAAGUUAGUAUGCUUCAGUUCUUCCUGACAUAUGUUCAGAAUACUCCUGGUAGCCAGUUGGUGGAGUCAUUCCAGUCUUUGUUGGGUUUGUGGCGUGAUGGUUUACAACUUACUUCUCUACCACCUGUUCAAUUUCACCUUCUAGUUAUCUUGCAUGAAUUUGUCCAGCGUGCACCACUUCUUGAAGAAAAAAAAGACCAGAAAGAGCUGCAGGACAUAGCACAAAAACUAGUAGAAGCCUGCAGCACAAUAGCAGCAGCAAGCUUAGAGCAGACGACCUGGCUACGACGGAACCUUGCUGUGCGACCAGGACCUCAACAAGAUCUUCCAGUCUCCAAUGAAGAAAACAUUACACAAACAACUUCUUCAAAUUCAGUUGGAAACUUGGUUCAUGUAGCCACUAUUCACAAUACCAGUAGUUUGACUUCCUUUGUUGGUCAAUACACUGUCCAAGCAUUGUUUGUUCUUGCUGAGUUUCUGAUUCCUGUUUUGGACAUUGUAUAUGUAAGUGAAGAAAAGGAAAAAGUAAUUCCUCUACUGACAAGCAUUAUGUACUAUGUGACACCAUAUCUUCGUAACCACAGUACUCAUAAUGCACCAAGUUUCCGAGCAUGUUCUCAGCUUCUUGCAAGUAUGUCUGGUUAUCAGUACACCAGAAAGGCCUGGAAGAAGGAUGCUCUGGAACUCUUCAUGGACUUAGUGUUCUUCCAAAUGGACAUUACAUGCAUGGGACAUUGGAGAGCUAUUAUUGAUCAUCUGAUGACCCAUGACAAGACAACCUUCAGAGAUUUUCUGGCUCGGGCUUCCAUGGCUCAUCCAGGCUCCCUCAAUCUCUUCAGUAGCAAGGAGCAAGAGUACGAGCAGAGAUCUCAGUUGCUGAAAAGAUUGGCAUUUGUUCUGUUCUGUAGUGAAACUGAUCAGUAUCAAAGGUACAUGCCAGAUAUACAGGAGCGUCUAGCAGAAAGCCUGCGGCUACCACAAGUGCCAUCAGUCCAAGCUCAGGUGUUUCUGUGCUUUCGUGUCCUAUUGCUGAGGAUUUCUUCGCAUCACUUGACCUCACUUUGGCCUGUGAUAGUCACUGAAAUGGUCCAGGUGUUUUUACAAAUUGAGCAUGAACUUAUGACUGAUACAGAAGAGUUCAGAAGGGUUCCCAGCUCACAUCUUCGUCGUCUCUCAACUCUUGACAGCUCGUGGGUGACCAGUACAAGCAAUGGAUUAAAUGCUCAUAACAACCCAGCAUGGCUACAACUGUAUCUUUCUGCUUGUAAGCUAGUUGAUUUAGCUGUAGCCUUACCUGCUGACAUGUUGCCACAGUUUCAAAUGUAUCGCUGGGCUUUUGUUGGUGAUAGCCCUCCUCUUUCCUCAGAAAACCAGUGCAAUAAUAACAUUGAUAGGAAUGGAACUUCUGAUUUCAUACCUCAUAUUGUUAGAUUGGCAAGGUUGAUUAACACAAGGGUGAAAGGCUAUGAACAUAAAACUUAUGUUCCUGGAUGCCUCCUGCUAAAGAUGAACACCAUCAACUCCUUAAACCAGCUCCAACCAUUCUUCAAUGCUCUUGCUGAUGUACAUGUUAACCAAGCAAAGCAACCACCUGUUAAACAACAAAACUUUGCUACAGAUCAGGAGUUUCCUACCAUUAGCAUAACCAAGUCAAGAUCAGCACCAGACCUCAGUGAAACGAACCAAUUAGGUAAUCUUCUAGAGGACUGUAAGCCACUGACUAUUGUCCAACAAAUUGAAUGUGUGAUGGAACGUGAUUUUUUAGAGCCACGGAUGUCUUCAUGAUAACAUCCUUCACUAUUUAUAGUGUUGGUAGUUAUUCAAGACGAAACAAAAAAACCCUGAUCUGCACUGACCAGCAUGGUUUAUUUUCAUAAGGAAAAAUUGUUUAUAUUUGUAACUUAUAAAAAUGUCUUAGCCAAACAAAAACAGCAUAUAGAAAGAAAAUGUUAUUAACUUUUGUUAAGGUAAUGAGAAAAUGUAAUUCAAUCUCAGGAAACAUUUCUUUACACAGAUAAUGUUACUAAUGAGACCAUAAGACAUACAUUACACUACCAUUGUUGACUAAAAAUUAAAUUCUGUAUAUAUGCAUAUAUCUAUAUUUGAAUUUAAUGAAUAUGGUGUACAAUUUUAACUUUCAUGUUGUUUACUAUAUUUAAUCUGAUGAACAGUGUGUGUGACACAAUUUCUUCAACAGUCAGAGAAAAUAUAAUGGUAAAAAAAUCACAGUUUGGAUGAACUAUCAUUGAAAACAUUCAGAUAGUACAUGUAGGAGUGUAGUUUGUUUUCAGGAGUUUUUUGUGUAAUUUGAAAGUUAGUUGUAAAUUAAUUAAAAGCUGCUGAUACAGGAUAAAUGAUAUAUUGAAAAUGUUAUUCAUGUCACCAGGUGUAAAAAUACUUUUUAUCUUUAGAACUACUUGUGAAAAUAACACAAUUUCUUGAUGCACACAUCCUCUUUCCUGUUACUUGGGUCUAUAGAAACGUUUUGGCACAGUCACCUUUGUAGGUUUCAUGCAGUUUGAAUGUUAUAACUUUUUUUUACUGCUCUAUUACAAACAACCAAACCCCAUAAACCUAAUUGGUGAAUUUAUUUGUUAGAAGGGCAGAAUGAUUAAAUGUGAGACCAGCUGAAAUUCUAUAAAACAAAUCAGUACUAUUUAGUCCAUGGUCAGUAAAAGAAAGGAUGAUGUUUUAAAAGGUAAAACAUUUCAAAGGAGAUUUAUCAAAUGUAUACAAUUGCAUUGACAAAGCUUUUUACUGUGUACAUGUGAGGAAAGAGAGAGUUUUUGAAAGUAUGAGCUUAUGAAGGGAAAUGCAGGUGUUAUAGAAGCAGUGUAUCAAUUGUAGAUGAAGGGAAAUGCAGGUGUUAUAGAAGCAGUGUAUCAAUUGUAGAUGAAGGGAAAUGCAGGUGUUAUAGAAGCAGUGUAUGGUUGUAGAGAGAAAAAAAUUUGCAUAGUUUUUAACUUAAAGGUGUCUAUGCAAACCACUCAGCAUUCAUUGAUAUCUCACCAAAUGUUACAAUAGGCUUCUAAUGAAGCCUAGAUUGUAUAACAGAAAUAUAUAUUAAUGCUUUUCAAGUUGAUGCUUAGCUUAUUAUUUGUUUUCAUUUUUAGUCUGUAUAUCCAAUUUCAUUUUAUUUAUAUAUUAAAAGCAAAGGUACAACAUUUUGAAAUUACUGUCAAGUGAUAUAUAGGUGAAGGAUGAAAAUGUCAAACAUAAACUGAAUUGAAUCUGUAUUAAAUGUUUUAGCUGAAAAUGACUAAAAAGUAUAUCUGUCAGGUAUUGUCCAUCAUUAUCAUAAAAAAUGAGUCCAGGUUUUUUUUAAAUAGAUGAAUAUCAUUGAGUAAUUUGUCUUUCCUGGACGCUUCUCAGUAAGUCUUGGGGCUCAUACUGCUAAAAACUGGGUUUCAAUACUCGUGGUGGGCAAAGCAAAGAUUGCCCAUCAUAUAGCUUUAUGUUUAAUAACAAACUUUCCUGGAUUAAGCAUUCUUUCUCACCAAACCUAUAAAAAAAUACUUACAUUCCUCUCCUUUCUCUCAACCUGUUGUUUAAGGCUUAAUGCUAGUUUUUAUGCAUUCAUUUAGAAAAUUUCAAAAUGGAAAAUAAUAAUUUAUAAUUCAGUUUUUGAAAUGUUUAAAAACUUAAAAUGCCUUCAGUCUUCAAAAAGAAAUACCAAAACUACAAAAUUUUUAUGAAGUAUCAAAAUAAAGUUUUAAUGGAGAAAUUAUUGAAAUGCAAAAUCUAAAAUUAAACUUGUAGAAUAAAGUUCCUCUGAUGUUGGUCUUGUGAUUUAAAAUAGAAAAACAAAUUUAUUUCCGUAAAAGUAACAUUUCAGGUAAGUACUCAUCAGGCUAAUAGAACUAACUACACAGAGCUAGAAUCAGAUUGUAUGAUAAAAACAUUAAACUUCAAAUCUUCCUAUGUAUUAAGCAUGUGCAAGUCCAACAAAUGCCACAUUUUUAAACACAAACUAACUUUUUGUUUAAUGGCCUCAUCUGAAUUACAGCCGAUAUAUAAAAACUUGUACCACACAUAUAUUAAUGUCUCGCCAAAUACGAUCACAAGGUUGUAACCUAAUCUUAUGAAAAGUCUAAGUCUAUUAACAAAAAUAUAUGUAUACAAAUAUCUGCACUGAAUUUUAAAGAUUUCCAAAUUAUUUAAAUAGCAGUAAUCCAUAUCAAGAAAGUGAUAAUUACCUAAAAUAUAUGGUAAAAGUAAGAAUGUUGAAUGGUAACUUAAUUAUAUGAUAGAAGUGAAGGGUAUCUUAAAUAUAUAAUAAAAGUAAGAAUGCUGAUGGGUAACAAAUAUGUAUGAUAAAAGUAAGAAUGCUGAAUGGUAACAAAUAUGAAUGCUGAAUGGUAACAAAUAUGUAUGAUAAAAGUAAGAAUGCUGAAUGGUAACAAAUAUGUAUGAUAAAAGUAAGAAUGCUGAAUGGUAACAAAUAUGUAUGAUAAAAGUAAGAAUGCUGAUGGUAACAAAUAUGUAUGAUAAAAGUAAGAAUGCUGAUGGGUAACAAGUAUGUAUGAUAAAAGUAAGAAUGCUGAUAGGUAACAAGUAUGUAUGAUAAAAGUAAGAAUGCUGAUGGGUAACAAAUAUGUAUGAUAAAAGUAAGAAUGCUGAAUGGUAACAAAUAUGUAUGAUAAAAGUAAGAAUGCUGAUGGGUCACAAAUAUGUAUGAUAAAAAUAAGAAUGCUGAUGGGUAACAAAUAUGUAUUAUAAAAGUAAGAAUGCUGAAUGGCAACAAAUAUAUACAGGGUUCAUACUGCCAAUGCCAAAAAGAAUUCCAAGACUUUUCCAGUACCUCAAAUACAAAUUUCCAGGUGUGUUCUAAUAUGUAAGGAAUCUAACAUACAUUUUCAGUAACACAUUUUAAUGAUUAUGUAAGAUAUAAUACAAUUAAGGAAAUGUGUAAAUGAUCAAAAAAUUCCACUUUUAUUAUAAAAACAUAGCACUGAUAAGUGUUCUUUAGCUUUCAGCUAUUAAUGAUAGAUAUACAACUCAUAAUUUUGUGCACAAUUAUUUGUUCCAUAGCUCUUUCAGUUUCAAGUCCACUUCUUAGAGCUCUGCUAAUUCCUGACUUUUAGAUUUUGUUGUCUUCUUCAGACUAUUUGAUUGUGUUAUUAGAGUAAACUUUCUGCUUGAUUUGCUGGUUCAUCUGCUUUUUGUUCAAGUUCUUUAUCAGUCAGUAGUCUUGCUUGCUUUUUCUUCAACUCAUCAAUGUUAUCCAAAAGAAUUUGCCUUUUCAUGCUUUGCUUUUCACAUAACUUCUCCUUUAUACUUUGCUUUUGCAGAUGAAGCUGCUACUAUCAUAUUUGGGAUUAUAGGAAUGUUCAGAAUUCCCCCAGUUUUAUCAAUAUGGUUCUUUAUAAUUCUUUGAUCCACAAAUGAUUAUUCUCACAGGUUUUCUCUUUUCAAUGCUUUGUUCACUGAAAAUCCCCGCUUGAUGACCAUGGGAUAGAACCGAAGCAAGUCUCACAAUAUGUCAAACCUUGGCAUAUUACAUUUUGCCAGGUGCAGAGAACAAUCCACAGAAGAAAGUGUCCAAACUCGUGUUUCCAGAAUUGAAGUCCAUAAAAACAGCAUUCUCCUUAGGAACCUUAUCGGAAAGAAGCCGCCUGAAUGCAACCAUGUUAUGGUCACACAAGAUUAUUAAUACUUGCUUCAUUUGAGACACACAUAGAUCAGGAUCAUUUGAUUUGGAUUCAAACACUGUAGAUUCCUCACCACAGAAUACUUGAUUGUUGCCUUCAGCUAUAGUUUCUGUACUAUUGCUUAUGUAAAUUCUUUGAAAUGCGAUCCUAAAUUCCAUUGCCUGCAAAGAUGAUACUUAAGCAGUUUUCAGUGCCUGUUCUGCUUCAAUGCUCACAUCCAUUUUAUUGUGGGCCACUUGAAGUUCUUUUUUUCUAAACAUCAAGGGCAAUGAGUUUCUUUCAUGUCUUACUUGCUUUCUCAGUUUAUUCAUGUUUGAUGAAUAUUUCCAGCAUUUCUGCCAUGUAGUUAGCUAGAAAAGGUAGCAUGGGCCUGUCUGUCUGAUCUAUAGUGAGGAAGGGAUUUAUCAUCUUCGCAACCCUUUUGAAGAAGACUAUUAUCCCACAGUAAAUUAAUGGAUCAUCACAUGACUUCUUAACCACAUCAAAGGAUCUUGUCCCUGUGUUUGUCAGGUUCUUCUGAACAACUACUUGUAAAUACAACUUAAUAUUUGGCCAGACCUCGAGUGCUCUCUCUCUGACCACCAUCAAAUUUUCUAGACAUCUGUGCCGACAAAACGUCUUAGGACGUCAACUGGUGUAUCUUUAAAUAACCAGUAAAGGUUGCUGAGGGUGUGAUACAUUCCACUAUAAUGUAGCUACUCCAUCUUUGAAAGCUCCAUGUAUGUUGUGUAAGCCACAACUUCCAAUGUCCAACAAUUUUGUGUGAUGAUCUUUUUCCAACUGUGAUUGGAAAUUCCAGUUUAUAGCUGGACCAUCCAUGGACAACUGGAAAAGAGAAGAUAUAUUUCUCUUUAGCUGCUCUAUUCCAUGGUUAAAAAAAGAUACCAUAUCAUUUGCUGUGGCAUGUCCAAAAAACUCAGAAGUCAGAUAACGUGCAACUACUUUGUCAUUAUCCUACAUCCUCAUAUGCACAUCAAGUUGUUUUCUCUUUGUAACUUUGUUUAGUGACUCGUAACAUAAAGUCUCUACUUUUCUUCAUUGACAUUUGCUCUAUUAAUAAACUUCUGAAAUAGGGAGCCAAUCUAAACUGUAUCGUGUUGGAACACUUCCUACAUGACAAUGCAAAGGUUUGAGCAGUGGUACUGUCUGGAAACAUAGACUUAAACAGGUUUGGUUGGACCACUGCAUGAAUAGUUUGAUGCCACAAUAUUUCAGCUUGCAGGACAUCAUUCCCUCCAAUAUAUGAGGAAACUGAGGUUCUUCUAGUUGCUGUUGAAUUCUUACCAGUCUCAUCCUCCACAAUCCCUAUGGUCUGUGUAUAAAGAACCAUUCAAAUUAUGCAUAGCACAGUACUAUUCAUGAUUAUAAAAUAUAUGCAUUUAUUUAUGUUGUAUUAAUUUUUUGAUAAAAUUGUCAUAAACUAGAUCAGCAAAAACAAUUAAAAUUGGACUAUAUACUUAUACUUAUAGUUACUUGGCUAUUUUGAAUAAACAAAAUAUAUACAAUGAAUUUGAUAAACAAUUUAUUUGUUUAUAAAAUUUCUUUUAUUUAUUUAUGUAGUUAGCUUUUCAACAUUUCCAUGUGUUUCCUUUUGCAUGACUGCCGGCUCUCCCAUGUUUGACACAUUGAAUGAUUUCAUGCACACCUUACAAAAUGCGUUUGACUUUGAGUCUUUGUUAGGUCCCGGCCAAUCUGGCUUGUCUAUGCAUAAAUCAUUAAAAACACUUUCUGCACAACAUCACAAUUUUAAGUGUGUGCUCAAGCGUAUGACCAAGGACGUGCAUGAAAGAUCAAUGUGAGCACAGCACCAUUUGCAAGGGUUCUAGUAUGCAUGCACACCUGCAGUUGAGUUUGACUGGGCACUUGGAAUAUCUAUAGGCCCCUACUGUGCGUAGUAGGCCUACUGGCUAGAUUAUGAAUGAAUUUGUAACUAGUGUACCAUUUUCACUUUGUAGCUGUGAAAAAAACCAAAUAAAUAUUCUUUGUUACACAUCUAUACAUACACGUGUCCAGGGUAUGUAUGAACCCUGUAUAUAUAUGAUAAAAUUAAGAAUGCUGAAGGGUAACUUAAAUAUAUUAAAAAAGUAAAACUGCUGAAGGAUAACUUAAAUAUAUGUUAAAAAAAGUAAGAAUACUGAAAGGUAACUGAACUAUGUGAUAAAAGUAAAACUGCUGAAUGAUACAAAUAUAUAUGAUAAAGUAAGAAUGCUGAAAGAUAACAACUAUAUGAUAAAAGUAAAACUGCUGAAUGAUACAAAUAUAUAUAUGAUAAAGUAAGAAUGCUAGAAAGACAACUAUAUGAUAAAAGUAAAACUGCUGAAUGAUACAAAUAUAUAUAUGAUAAAGUAAGAAUGCUGAAAGAUAACAACUAUAUGAUAAAAGUAAAACUGCUGAAUGAUAGAAAUAUAUAUGAUAAAGUAAGAAUGCUGAAAGAUAACAACUGUAUGAUAAAAGUAAAACUGCUGAAUGAUACAAAUAUAUAUGAUAAAGUAAGAAUGCUGUUUAUGUAAAUUAAUGUUAUUUUUAAAUAUGUUCUACAAAGAGUAAGUUAAUUAAAACAUUGAGUUUAUGUAGUUUAGACCUCUUCCCAGGUUGUGGAGGAGAAACAAAACAUGGCAAGACUUAAUUGGAUCUUUGUAUUAAAUAUGUGUUUUGGCUAAGAAAAUACUAUCUUUAAUGUAGUCAUUAAAUAGAGCUUGUUUCAUAU
rnacentral:misc_RNA from 1 species